CCGUCCUACGGGACGCAGCAGUGAGGAAUAUUGGUCAAUGGGCGAGAGCCUGAACCAGCCAAGUCGCGUGAAGGAUGACGGCCCUAUGGGUUGUAAACUUCUUUUGUCAGGGAGCAAUUGGGUCCACGCGUGGGCUUAGCGAGAGUACCUGAAGAAAAAGCAUCGGCUAACUCCGUGCCAGCAGCCGCGGUAAUACGGAGGAUGCGAGCGUUAUCCGGAUUUAUUGGGUUUAAAGGGUGCGUAGGCGGAAGAUCAAGUCAGCGGUAAAAAUACGGGGCUCAACCCCGU
rnacentral:rRNA from 1 species